ACGCUCGACACCUACGGGAGGCGGCAGUGGGGAAUAUUGCACAAUGGGGGAAACCCGUGAUGCAGCGACGCCGCGUGAGCGAAGAAGUAUUUCGGUAUGUAAAGCUCUAUCAGCAGGGAAGAAAAUGACGGUACCUGACUAAGAAGCCCCGGCUAACUACGUGCCAGCAGCCUCGGUAAUCUGAGCGGGCUGGCAAGGC
rnacentral:rRNA from 1 species